rnacentral:rRNA from 1 species
UACGGAAGGCAGCAGUGGGGAAUAUUGCACAAUGGGCGAAAGCCUGAUGCAGCUAUGCCGCGUGUAUGAAGAAGGCCUUAGGGUUGUAAAGUACUUUCAUCGGGGAGGAAAAACAAAACUAAUAAUUUUAUUUCUUGACGUUACCCGAAAAAGAAGCACCGGCUAACUCCGUGCCAGCAGCCGCGGUAAUACGGAGGGUGCUAGCGUUAAUCAGAAUUACUGGGCGUAAAGAGCACGUAGGUGGUUUUUUUAAAGUCAGAUGUGAAAUCCCUGGGCUUAACCUAGGAACUGCAUUUUGAAACUGAAAUACUAGAGUAUCGUAGAGGGAGGUAGAAUUCUAGGUGUAGCGGUGAAAUGCGUAGAUAUCUGGAGGAAUACCUGUGGCGAAAGCGGCCUCCUAAACGAAUACUGACACUGAGGUGCGAAAGCGUGGGGAGCGAAACAGGGAUUAGAUACCCGU